AACGGUCUAUACCUGCGGUACCUGCGGAAGGAUCAUUACCGAGUUAUCAACUCCCAAACCCCUGUGAACAUACCCGAACGUUGCCUCGGCGGGACCGCCCCGGCGCCCCUAGCGGCCCGGAACCAGGCGCCCGCCGGAGGACCCAAACUCUUGCCUUAAACAGUGGCAUACUCUCUGAGUCUCACAAACAAAAAAUAAAUCAAAACUUUCAACAAUGGAUCUCUAGAUCGGAAGAGCACA
rnacentral:misc_RNA from 1 species